rnacentral:tRNA from 1 species
GGGGAUGUGGCUCAAGUGGUAGAGCGCUCACCUAGAGUGCGUGAGGAACUGGGUUCGAUUCUCAGCACCACA